rnacentral:lncRNA from 1 species
GCGGUCCGGUUUGGUUCGGGUUGGAGGUAGAACCGGAACCAAACCAUAUAUUAGCGGUUUUUUAUAAUCUCAAAUCAACCCGCGACCCGCAAACCAAUUAACCCGGACCAAGCGGUGCGGUUUUUAAUGGUUCGGUUAAGCGGAUUGAUCGGUUUAUGACUAAGGCUUAUAAUCAGAAAUGAGAAUUCAUGAAUAAUACUAGAAAAUAGAGGAUCAUUUUGUCUCAAUUUACAUAAUUUCACAUAGUUAAAUUAAAAUACAAAUUUUAGUCUAAUAAAAUGCAUAAAGUUGAACCGAAGUCGUGGAAUACCGAAUUGAUAUGACUUGUAGUUGGUAUUGAUAAGGUAAGCAACUAAACAACCUAGCAAGUAUAAACUAAAAAAUUAAUAUAUUUAUGUAAAACUAAUAUUUUGUAUAUAUAUAAUAUUAAAUAUUUAUAUUAUAUAUAUACACAUGCGGUUCGGUUUUAUAACGGGUUGGUUUAAUAUAAAACCGAAACCAACCCACAAACCACGGUUUUUUAAAUUAGUCGAACCGAAACCGUAAACCUCAUUUCGGUUUCGGUUUG